GACGAACCGUGCAAACGUUGUUCGGAAUCACUGGGCUUAAAGGGCGCGUAGGCGGGUCACCAAGUCUGUGGUGAAAGCCUCCAGCUUAACUGGAGAAGUGCCGUGGAUACUGGUGGUCUCGAGGGAGGUAGGGGGCAUGUGGAACUUCCGGUGGAGCGGUGAAAUGCGUAGAUAUCGGAAGGAACGCCGGUGGCGAAAGCGACGUGCUGGACCUCUUCUGACGCUGAGGCGCGAAAGCUAGGGGGAGCAAACGGG
rnacentral:rRNA from 1 species